UACGUAGGGCGCGAGCGUUGUCCGGAAUUAUUGGGCGUAAAGAGCUCGUAGGCGGUCUGUCGCGUCGGUCGUGAAAACUUGGGGCUUAACCCUGAGCUUGCGGUCGAUACGGGCAUGACUGGAGUUCGGCAGGGGAGACUGGAAUUCCUGGUGUAGCGGUGAAAUGCGCAGAUAUCAGGAGGAACACCGGUGGCGAAGGCGGGUCUCUGGGCCGAUACUGACGCUGAGGAGCGAAAGCGUGGGGAGCGAACAGG
rnacentral:rRNA from 1 species